CUGUCCUGUUGGUUUAAUUGACAAAUAAAAAUGUAUGUAUUUAAGCUCUGAUGUUUUGUGCCUAGUACCCCACUCUGUAAUACUUAUGUGGGAGGAGAAUAUCUUGGACCCUCCGUGUUAAUUCUCAAUAUACGUCACUGUUGACUAGAAUUGCCACUCUGUACGUACAUUAGCCACUGAGAACUUAAUAUUCUUGCGAAUGCGAGUUGUAUUGUCUGACCCACUCCUGUUCCUCACACCCACUGACCUCUACCAACUGCCCUUCCACUCUGAGUUUGUGUGAAGUUAUUGAGAGACCAACCGCAGCCGUAGGCCGUGAGUAAGAUGGCCCCCGCGUGAGCAGAACUGUCAGGGGUACUGCUCUGUUUGCCUACUUCAACUGAAUUUGGCCUGCAUUAAAAGAGGAAUUAAAUGAGUCAGUAAAUAAUGGCCAGGUGACAGGAUCCCAGGAGUGGGCCACUAAAAAUGUUUUUUUGACCAAAAGGUUAAUUUUUAUUCGUUGAUGUAUAAUUGUAGCCUUAAAAAACUUCUAUUUUACCUCUAUGUACUAAGAUGUGGUGAGAUUCGAACUAGGCUCAUCUGUGUUUAUUGUAUUUAAAAUGUAUGAAAACACUGGGAAGACCAAAUAGGCAAUGAUGAUGAGAUUGUAUCUGUAAUCAAAGAUGGCUGUGUCUCUUACUCUGUACUGGGUCUGUUUCAAAAAGGGUCUGUUGUUUCCUUUGUGGUCAGGACAUAUAGGAUCAAUGUUUAUAAAAAAGAACUGCUUUGGGGUUGGGGGUUUUUUGGAUAGUGAAUUUGUACACAUUCAUUAAAAUGAUAAGAAAUGAUAAAUGAAUGAAUGAAUUUAUGAAUGAAUGAAUAUGUGCUUGGGCCUGUAUGAUGAUCCUAGAUUAAGAUAAUCUGCCCUGCUCACUAAUGGCUUUGAAGCAAGUGUUUCUACUUCGUCCUUUUUAAAUAUCUGCCUUGUGUUCUACAGAAUGGAGGCCCUAAUGUGAAUGGAGACUAGCCUGCUGGUAGAGACCUUGGCAGUGACCGCUGUGGGCAAUGAGCCAUGGGCCAACAAUAUUCAAUGCUGUGUACCUGAUGGAUGGUUACUGUCUGAGACUGAGGCUUUUUGGGCCAGGAGUAAAAGGACUUGGUUUGUACUUGAUUGCGUCCUGUGGAUGCUUGCCUACCAACUGACUCAUCCUGACGUGCCAAAGGUCCUGGCUUUCCCCUGUGUGGGUAAGGGAAGAAGAGAGUUCUGUGAGUAAUAGCUUCGGUUGUAUGUUCUUGGCUUGGGAAGUUGACUCAUGAGUGGGUGUUGCUUGCAUUUUUCUAAGGUAAAAAAAA
rnacentral:lncRNA from 1 species